AAGACUUCUCGGCCUUUUGGCUAAGAUCAAGUGUAGUAUCUGUUCUUAUCAGUUGCCAAUAGGUGGUGCUAAGCUGACUGUCCCUCUUUUAACUGGGAGGAGCUGGUAGUACUUCCAGAAUGUGAUUAGGUGGGAGAGAUAGGGGUUGUGGGUAGUGCCGGCUUAGGUGGGCACUCCCCAACCUCUU